UACGAAGGGGGCUAGCGUUGCUCGGAAUCACUGGGCGUAAAGCGCACGUAGGCGGCUUUUUAAGUCAGGGGUGAAAUCCUGGAGCUCAACUCCAGAACUGCCUUUGAUACUGAGAGGCUCGAGUCCGGGAGAGGUGAGUGGAACUGCGAGUGUAGAGGCGAAAUUCGUAGAUAUUCGCAAGAACACCAGUGGCGAAGGCGGCUCACUGGCCCGGUACUGACGCUGAGGUGCGAAAGCGUGGGGAGCAAACAGG
rnacentral:rRNA from 1 species